ACCUCUCCCCUGCCUCCUUAAUCCAGGCAAUGUAAUUUUGGAAAGAUAACAUUUUAAAAGCCGUUUAGAGUUGCCAAUCAGGGCUUAAAGGAUGUCUGGUCUUUGUGUCCAUCUACUACAUCCAUGCUCCAGCUUCCUUUCCUGAAAAUAUCAAUCUGAAAUGUGUUUGUCAAGUAGUUAGCAUUCUCUUUCUGCCUUAUAGGAGCGGAAAACAGGAAGCACAGAAGGACAAGGCACAUUUUGAAGUAUGAAGUGGUGCUGGAGAUACAGCUCGAUGGUUAAGAGCUCCCAUUCUUCGUGCAUUGGAACUGGGUUCACUGUCCCAGCAUUCACCUAGAGGCUUAUCACAUUUUUGUGACUCUAGUUCCAGGGGAUCUAAUGUCUUCUGACUUCCAAGGGCAAAAUGCAUGCACAGUGUACACCUACAUAUGUGCAGAGUUCAUCUCAGUGUUUAGCUGUGGGCGUCUGUUUCUGCUUCCAUCAGCUACUGGAUGAAGGCUCUAGGAUGGCAUGUACAUGCCAAAUCCAGAAGAGGGCGUCAGAUCCCCUGGAGCUGGAGUUACAGGCAGUUAUGAGGCAACUGGCAACUGAAUGUAGGGCUUCUGCAGGAGAGGAAGGCAGUGUUAAACUGCUGAAGUCCUGGGAGCUGGGGGUGUGGCUCAGUAGGAAUGCUGGCUUCUGUGAAAGAAGCAGUGAGCAAGAUCCCCAGCACUGCACAACAACGGGAAGACUCCCCACAGACCAUGAAGGUUGACAAGUACUGACCAGAGAUUUGCAAGAUACACGGGGAUUGUGUCCAGUUAACAAAGUUGGUAAGAUCAUUAUGCCAUGUUUUUUGAGUUGUUCCCUGGAGAGCAGAGAGAUAAACUGGCUAUGGAUCACAGCACUCAGUAC
rnacentral:lncRNA from 1 species